rnacentral:rRNA from 1 species
UACAGAGGUCCCAAGCGUUGUUCGGAUUCAUUGGGCGUAAAGGGUGCGUAGGUGGCGCCGUAAGUCGGGUGUGAAAUUUCGGAGCUUAACUCCGAAACUGCAUUCGAUACUGCGGUGCUUGAGGACUGGAGAGGAGACUGGAAUUCAUGGUGUAGCAGUGAAAUGCGUAGAGAUCAUGAGGAAGACCAGUGGCGAAGGCGGGUCCCUGGACAACACCUGACACUGAGGCACGAAAGCCGGGGGAGCAAACAGG